AAAAUUUUCUCAUACUACGUAUUUGUUUGUCACCAAAGAUUUGUUGCUGUGGGCCGUGAACAAUAUUCUUCUUGUUAGACGACCUCACUAUGUUAGUUUAGAAACAUUCUCAAGUGCAAAUGCUUCCUCAAGAAGGGAUGGGUCACUAUAAUCGCCUCCCUUGGAAGAUCUGAACAAUAAGACUGUAAUUUGUCUCCCCACUGCUUGCAAUAUUCCUCGAGAUGGCUUAUACAAGAGUCCUGGAAUAAUUGAUGAGCAUAUAGAGGAAUUACAGAGACAAGGUUCUUCUGCCGCAGCGAAAAUGGAGGUGGAGAGGCUGAAGCAUGAAUGUGGAAGGUCCUUGCUAACGGUUCAGCAGUGGAAGAAAAUGUAUGACAACCUGAAUGAAUUCUGUGUUAAUGAACUUUUAGAUGGAGAUGAAGUGGGAGGCACCAAAUGAAAUCUUGCCUUAGACACGGUUCUCUUUGUACAGCAGCCUCCUGUAUAGUAUCUGGUCUAGACAUGGCAGGAGGGUCCGACCAGGUCCCCAAAUUACAGGUUGUCUUGGAGGCUUUGGGGCAAGGUAUGCAGACUACAUCCCAUUAAAAAUAAUUAAAAUUUUUUUAGAAAUAUAUAUAAAAUGCGAUCCAACUUGUUAAGGGUCUACAAAAACAUGAUCCAAAGGGUUUUCGGUUGUAUUAUAGGUCUUGUCAUGCUAAUGGGUCACCUUGCUCCAUUAGAUGAUAGGUUAAGCAUAAUUUGACUCCUAAGCAAAAUAGAUUACACUAGAAUCAACCUAACACUGUCUACUGUUGUGUCUUAUAUGAUAUGAUGCACCUCUAACCUUUGACUCUUUUUUUUUCUUAUUGUAAAAAUGUUCUACCUAUUGGGCAAAGAGAAUAUGUUAAGUUCUUAAAGUAAUUAUCUUAAGUCCCUUUGGAAUUAUGAAGGAUUUCCAUUGUUUUAGAAACUACGAUUAACUUGUCCUAUAUCGCCUUUGUAUUUUGUUGUCUGAGGGGGUGCAAAAAUGUAAUUUAAAUAUGGUGGCGUAAUUGUAUAAUGAAGGAUUUUGUUGACGGCC